UCCUACGGGGCGCAGCAGUGAGGAAUAUUGGUCAAUGGGCGGGAGCCUGAACCAGCCAAGUCGCGUGAGGGAAGACGGUCCUAUGGAUUGUAAACCUCUUUAGGCGGGGAGCAAUGCCGGGCACGCGUGCCCGGAGGGAGAGUACCCGCAGAAUAAGCAUCGGCUAACUCCGUGCCAGCAGCCGCGGUAAUACGGAGGAUGCGAGCGUUAUCCGGAUUUAUUGGGUUUAAAGGGUGCGUAGGCGGAUUUUUAAGUCAGCGGUAAAAUGUCCGGGCUCAACCCGGGCCAGCCGUUGAAAUUGGGGG
rnacentral:rRNA from 1 species